rnacentral:rRNA from 1 species
CCUACGGGUGGCAGCAGUAGGGAAUAUUGCUCAAUGGGGGAAACCCUGAAGCAGCAACGCCGCGUGGAGGAUGAAGGUUUUACGGUUUGUAAAUCCCUUUUUUAGAGGAGUUUAUGACGGUAUCUGUCGCAUAAGCACCGGCUAACUCCGUGCAAGCAGCCGCGGUACUGCGGAGGGUGCCAGCGUUACUCGGAAUCACUGGGCGUAAAGAGGGCGUAGGCGGGGUAAUAAGUCAGAUGUGAAAUUCUGUAGCUUAACCACAGAACUGCAUUUGAAACUGUUAGUCUGGAGUUUGGGAGAGGUAGGCGGAAUUCGUGGUGUAGGGGUGAAAUGCGUAGAGAUCAAGAGGAACACUCAUUGCGAAGGCGACCUGCUGGAACAUUACUGACGCUGAUGCACGAAAGCGUGGGGAGCAAACAGGAUUAGAUACCCGUGUAGUC